CAAUAAAAAUAUUUAGGUCGUUUGAAAGCGGGUGCAUAUUUGCGUUACAUAUACGAAUUCCCAUUUAAUUGUGUGUAUGUUGCUGAUUCUCCUAUAAGGGUUUGGAUUGUUAGGUCGUCAAUUAUUAAGAAUGUGAUUUUGGAAGCAAGACAACGACCGGGAGGAGCGAAAAUUUGAUGGUAGGUUUGUUUUUACCGAUGGAUUAACUAUCUCUAAGGUGAAGAAUCGCAUUAAUAUAGUGCGAAGAUCCUCCCAGCUAUAUUAUAGUGCACAGUGGGAAAUGAUAUAUAUAAAAUAUCAAACUAGGUUACUUUCAUUAUUAGCUUGUUCAAUUUAUGUCAAGGUUAUAUAUUGAUUUGCCUGAUACAACUUGAUUUGGUCUCAAGUUUUAUUGCCAAGACUGCAAUGACGGUCUUCAAACAAUGGGAAUUGUAAUGUAUGGACAAGUGCAGGCGUCGGUUAAACAGCUCCAUUGUUGUCCACAUGACAAAGCAUGGAUGUUACAUUCGAUAUCCCUACAUAAAAGCUAAAC
rnacentral:lncRNA from 1 species